AUCAAUGUUACUGCUUUGCUUUGAUAUUCGUUUGACCCAGAUCAAUAUUUUGUUAUUUUAUGUUUUGCAUCUCACUUUUACUUACCGUAACAACUUCGCAGGUCAGUGUUUUCAAUGGGCUAAGUGAUCAUCGCAACCUACCGGCUCUCUACGCUUACUAAAUUUUUACGUCUCCAUGGCAAACCGAUGAAAAUCAACCAACCUAGGAGAGACGAAACACAAGAGCUCAUUGUUGUUGCUUUGGGAUCUCUGGCAAACAUCGCACUGAUUGUUCAGCUUGAACCUGAGUUUUAAAAAAAUGUCGGACAGAUUGUUCUUCUUGGUGGACCAUUCACAGUAAACGGAAAGAGCUCUUACAAGGAAACUUCUUUUCCCCGGGUGAACAUGUGGUCCAGCAAUUAGAUUUGAUGACUGAUAUGUUGGAAACUCAAAUCUGCGGAAGCCAUUGGAAGGUCCCCGUCCCUUUCCAGAUUCCACAGCUGCAUUGUUACUAUUUUGGCUGAAAUGUGUGCACUGAAUGCGACAUGUUAGGAACAGGAAAGCUCGAAGAAGAAGCCUAUUCAUUUCUCACAUAAGUUUCCACAUGCUGAUUCCUCCUGCUUCAUCUGCUAGAGAAUAUGUUGUCUUUAAAACCCAAGGACCUACCUACAGCUGAAAAGGUGCGUCACACAUUUCCUUUAUUACAUUCGUUGUGAUGCAAGUGGGUUGUAUUCAAAGGCUAUAUUUACGUGAAAAAUUCAGAAAGUCUGUAAACUUUAUACAUGAUGCUUACUAAGAUUACUAACGGUAUGGAGUGUAAGAUAAGAGUACGCUGU